rnacentral:lncRNA from 1 species
GAAGGUAACCUUGCACUCCACAUAGCACUACUGCAAAGGAAUGCAAAUCCCAGCGCUAUUCUGAGUGUUUCUCUUUGCACAGAGGAAGGAGAAUUGGUCCACCUUAAGUCCUUCUGAAAGGCUGAGGCUCAAAGGAGAGUUACCUCAACCUUCUAUGGCAGCUGGCUUUUAGAGUGUGUGGGACCUCCUCCUGUCCAGCUCUUCACAGUGACAGCGUUCUGGCGUCAUUUCUUGCCACAAAGCCCCAUCCCUUCUCUUCUGAGACCUGCAUGCAGUUCACACCUAACAAGACAUCCUUUCCCUGGGACUAAAUCUCUUGAAAUCUGAUCCACGAACACAUCUAAACAGUCGCGCUAACAGGUAACUCAGAGAUAUGGAAAUGUAAAUGAUUCUCCAAUCAAUAAAGAUAAUUACGGUGAGAGAUAGACUGACAUGCAGUAUCUCGAGGCUUUUCGCCUUGUCUCCCGAGCUCCCCAGCGGCACCACACACACUGGUGAAUGUAUUUCCAAGGCUGUGACUGUGGCUGGGGAGAAUUGUUUCCUGCAAGAGGAGCACGAGUGACACUGCCCCGCUAACGAUGCGCGCUGCAGCUGGAGCCAAACUUCCCCAGCAUGACUCUGCUCUCUUCCUCCCUUUUAAAAGGCGACGUUAAUGUUGUCCUAUUAGCCUUGGGUUUCAGCAGACUGAACACGAACUGCUGUCAACUUCUGCACAAGUUGGAAGGAGAGAGGUUCAUCUCAUUUUUCCCCUCGGGUUGUUAGCUGUCAACAAACACCUUGUCUGCACACCUCUGGAAGGGCUGAUGGGGCAGAUCCCCACCAUUGAGUACUGAAGAUUUCCCAAGGAUUUGUGUACUUCCCAAUGUGGCCAGCUGCUAGGAUGUGUGUACAACCGUGCAGAAAAGCCUCUGAUGGGAACAGUGGAGAGUUACCAAACCCCAACACCUUUGAAUCCUGAGUGUCUUGAGCUGCACAGCCCCUCCUGCCCCUUCUGCCUGCACCCCCAUCUCCCCACGAGCUCAGCAGCCUUCCAGCUCAACCUGUGCUUGUGGCUCCUGGCAUCCUUUGUGAAGAAAACCUCAUCUCCUGUCCAGCAUUUGGCUGGAUGGUCUUCACGGGUUAGAGGAACUUUUAAACAUUCUCAACAAAGUUCAUGUUGAUUGAACUGGUGAAAUAAUUCCUGGUGCAAGCUCUAAGAAGGACCUUUUAAACUUCCGUGCUUGAAGCUCUGUCCAUCGCACGAGGCACGACAGACACUUGCAAGGUCAUCUCCCUGUCUGCAUUCAGCUCCUUUAACAGACACGUCUGACAGCUUUGAUGCAACCCAAAACCCAGCGCCUAUCUUCCUCUAUGGCAUUAGUUUAAAUAUAUGUAUGUAUCUAUAGAUAUACUUGGAGAGGAAUGAAGCUGUGACUAUGGUGGCUAAGGUCAUGCCGUUCAGGGUGGCUGAGGUCACACCAUCUGACACAUGUCAGAUGAAAGCUCAGGCAAGAAUAUUCAGUGACCGCUCCGUGCAGUUUUUCAUCCAUGUGCAGAGGGAAUAGCCACUCUCAGCAGCACCGGUCCAGGCCUCCCUGCCGGCGGGUCAGGGCAACGUGUGUUUCAAGUCAUACAUGGAAUAUCUAUUCACCUUUAACAAAUGCAGCGCGCAUGAAAGUGCCCGACUUUGCUCUCCCUUUCUUCCUGCUCACGGUUGGAUAUAAUGGAGGAAGAGAGGAGAUUGCUUCUACCCAUCCACGUUCUCCAUAUGGGAUGAGGGGUGCUCCCGAGGCUCGCUUGCCCUGAGCACAGACCUUGCUGUACUGGGCCGGCCUCUGCUUCGCAGGUGCUGGGGUCAUCCUUGGUGAUGCGCCGGGUGCUGAGCAGCGUGGUCCUGUCUUGCUCCCGGCUGCAGCACGGUCACUGCUCCGAUGUGCUCAUAGCACCACGAUAGCAACUGAUGGCACUGAGCCGCACCGCCGUGCGCACCAGGCUUGCACUAUUUCUGACUGCAAAGUACAGAUGGCUCCGGGGUGGCUUUUCUUGGCACCUCCCUGCGAAACCUAGAGAGGGCAUCUGCUGAGCACAACUGCUCCGACAGAGCCGAUUCCUCGCCCUCUCCCCCCGGGUGCUCCCAUCUGGAUAGCCCGCUGACCUCCCGUGCUGCGCCGCGCCGGGUUAAACUCGCUCGCUUUAGUUAUGUACUUCCAACAGCUUCAGGCAACAAAUGUAUUUCAUGCGCGGUCCUCCUGUACCUCUCCUUGAUGUUCUAAAGCAAUGAGAAAG